GUCAGAGGUUUGCCUACAACCUGUAGUUUGUCAGAGGUUUACCUAGAACCUGUACUUUGUCAGAGGUUUGCCAAGAACCUGUAGUUUGUCAGAGGUUUGCGUAGAACCCGUAGUUUGUCAGAGGUUUACCUACAACCUGUAGUUUGUCAGAGGUUUACCUACAACCUGUAGUUUGUCAGAGGUUUACCUAGAACCUGUACUUUGUCAGAGGUUUACGUAGAACCUGCAGUUUGUCAGAGGUUUACCUAGAACCUGUAGUUUGUCAGAGGUUUACCUACAACCUGUACUUUGUCAGAGGUUUACGUAGAACCUGCAGUUUGUCAGAGGUUUACCUAGAACCUGUAGUUUGUCAGAGGUUUACCUAGAACCUGUAGUUUGUCAGAGGUUUACCUAGAACCUGUACUUUGUCAGAGGUUUGCCUUGAACCUGUAGUUUGUCAGAGGUUUACCUAGAACCUGUACUUUGUCAGAGGUUUGCCUACAACCUGUAGUUUGUCAGAGGUUUACCUAUAACCUGUACUUUGUCAGAGGUUUGCCAAGAACCUGUACUUUGUCAGAGGUUUGCGUAGAACCCGUAGUUUGUCAGAGGUUUACCUACAACCUGUAGUUUGUCAGAGGUUUACCUAGAACCUGUACUUUGUCAGAGGUUUACGUAGAACCUGCAGUUUGUCAGAGGUUUACCUAGAACCUGUAGUUUGUCAGAGGUUUACCUACAACCUGUAGUUUGUCAGAGGUUUACCUAGAACCUGCAGUUUGUCAGAGGUUUACCGAGAACCUGUAGUUUGUCAGAGGUUUACCUAGAACCUGUAGUUUGUCAGAGGUUUACCUAGAACCUGUACUUUGUCAGAGGUUUGCCUAGAACCUGUAGUUUGUCAGAGGUUUGCCUACAACCUGUACUUUGUCAGAGGUUUACCUAGAACCUGUAGUUUGUCAGAGGUUUACCUAGAACCUGUAGUUUGUCAGAGGUUUACCUAGAACCUGUACUUUGUCAGAGGUUUGCCUAGAACCUGUAGUUUGUCAGAGGUUUACCUACAACCUGUAGUUUGUCAGAGGUUUACCUAUAACCUGUAGUUUGUCAGAGGUUUACGUAGAACCUGCAGUUUGUCAGAGGUUUACCUACAACCUGUAGUUUGUCAGAGGUUUACCUACAACCUGUAGUUUGUCAGAGGUUUACCUAGAACCUGUAGUUUGUCAGAGGUUUACCUAUAACCUGUAGUUUGUCAGAGGUUUACCUACAACCUGUAGUUUGUCAGAGGUUUACCUAUAACCUGUAGUUUGUCAGAGGUUUACCUAGAACCCGUAGUUUGUCAGAGGUUUGCCUAGAACCUGCAGUUUGUCAGAGGUUUGCCUAGAACCUGUACUUUGUCAGAGGUUUACGUAGAACCUGUAGUUUGUCAGAGGUUUGCCUACAACCUGCAGUUUGUCAGAGGUUUACCUACAACCCGUAGUUUGUCAGAGGUUUACCUACAACCCGUAGUUUGUCAGAGGUUUACCUAGAACCUGUAGUUUGUCAGAGGUUUACCUACAACCUGCAGUUUGUCAGAGGUUUACCUAGAACCUGCAGUUUGUCAGAGGUUUACGUAGAACCUGCAGUUUGUCAGAGGUUUACCUACAACCUGUAGUUUGUCAGAGGUUUACCUAGAACCUGCAGUUUGUCAGAGGUUUACCUAGAACCUGCAGUUUGUCAGAGGUUUACCUACAACCUGUAGUUUGUCAGAGGUUUACCUAGAACCCGUAGUUUGUCAGAGGUUUACCUAGAACCUGCAGUUUGUCAGAGGUUUACCUAGAACCUGCAGUUUGUCAGAGGUUUACCUACAACCUGUAGUUUGUCAGAGGUUUACCUAGAACCUGCAGUUUGUCAGAGGUUUACCUACAACCUGUAGUUUGUCAGAGGUUUACCUAGAACCUGCAGUUUGUCAGAGGUUUACCUACAACCUGUAGUUUGUCAGAGGUUUACCUAGAACCUGUAGUUUGUCAGAGGUUUACCUAGAACCUGCAGUUUGUCAGAGGUUUACCUAGAACCUGCAGUUUGUCAGAGGUUUACCUACAACCUGUAGUUUGUCAGAGGUUUACCUACAACCUGUAGUUUGUCAGAGGUUUACGUAGAACCUGCAGUUUGUCAGAGGUUUACCUACAACCUGCAGUUUGUCAGAGGUUUACCUAGAACCUGUAGUUUGUCAGAGGUUUACCUACAACCUGUAGUUUGUCAGAGGUUUACCUAGAACCUGCAGUUUGUCAGAGGUUUACCUAGAACCUGCAGUUUGUCAGAGGUUUACCUACAACCUGUAGUUUGUCAGAGGUUUACCUACAACCUGUAGUUUGUCAGAGGUUUACCUAGAACCCGUAGUUUGUCAGAGGUUUGCCUAGAACCUGCAGUUUGUCAGAGGUUUACGUAGAACCUGUAGUUUGUCAGAGGUUUACCUACAACCUGUAGUUUGUCAGAGGUUUACCUAGAACCCGUAGUUUGUCAGAGGUUUGCCUAGAACCUGUAGUUUGUCAGAGGUUUACCCAGAACCUGUACUUUGUCAGAGGUUUACGUAGAACCUGUAGUUUGUCAGAGGUUUGCCUACAACCUGCAGUUUGUCAGAGGUUUACCUACAACCUGCAGUUUGUCAGAGGUUUACCUAGAACCUACAGUUUGUCAGAGGUUUGCCUAGAACCUGUAGUUUGUCAGAGGUUUGCCUAUAACCUGUAGUUUGUCAGAGGUUUACCUACAACCUGUAGUUUGUCAGAGGUUUGCCUAUAACCUGUAGUUUGUCAGAGGUUUACCUACAACCUGUAGUUUGUCAGAGGUUUGCCUAUAACCUGUAGUUUGUCAGAGGUUUACCUACAACCUGUAGUUUGUCAGA